CACGUAGGGUGCGAGCGUUGUCCGGAAUUAUUGGGCGUAAAGAGCUCGUAGGCGGUGUGUCGCGUCGGCCGUGAAAACCUGCAGCUUAACUGUGGGCUUGCGGUCGAUACGGGCAUCACUGGAGUUCGGCAGGGGAGACUGGAAUUCCUGGUGUAGCGGUGAAAUGCGCAGAUAUCAGGGAGGAACACCGGUGGCGAAGGCGGGGUCUCUGGGCAGUAA
rnacentral:rRNA from 1 species